rnacentral:sRNA from 1 species
GCUGGGCAUGCUGGUGCACACCUGUAAUUCCAGCCACUCAGGAGGCUGAGGCAGGAGGAUCACAAGUUUAGGACCAGCCUCAGGAUUUAUGAGAUUUUGUCUCAA